rnacentral:rRNA from 1 species
AUUGAACGCUGGCGGCAGGCUUAACACAUGCAAGUCGAGCGGGGUGAUGGUGCUUGCACUAUCACUUAGCGGCGGACGGGUGAGUAAUACUUAGGAAUCUGCCUAUUAGUGGGGGACAACAUCUCGAAAGGGAUGCUAAUACUGCAUACGUCCUACGGGAGAAAGCAGGGGCUCACUUGUGAACUCGCGCUAAUAGAUGAGCCUAAGUCGGAUUAGCUAGUUGGUGGGGUAAAGGCCUACCAAGGCGACGAUCUGUAGCGGGUCCGAGAGGAUGAUCCGCCACACUGGGACUGAGACACGGCCCAGACUCCUACGGGAGGCAGCAGUGGGGAAUAUUGGACAAUGGGGGGAACCCUGAUCCAGCCAUGCCGCGUGUGUGAAGAAGGCCUUAUGGUUGCAAAGCACUUUAAGCGAGGAGGAGGCUCUUUUGGUUAAUACCCAAGAUGAGUGGACGUUACUCGCAGAAUAAGCACCGGCUAACUCUGUGCCAGCCGCCGCCGUAA